AUGCCGGGCAGCAUCCGAGUUUCAGCGUCGCUGCUGCGUCUCGUCAAAAAGAAAAAGAGAUCACACUGUUGUAUCUUUUGCUGUGCAGACAUUCAGCCACCCGUCGCCGCUCCACUCUUCUUGCAAGUUAACCUGGGGAAAAAAGAGUACAGCGGAUAUAUUGGACAAGAUGGCUUCUCUUUUCCAGUUACAUCACUUCGAGAUAGCAUGGUGUUGUCGCUGUACGAUGCAGAUAAGGAAUUGGUAUCCAAAACAGAAGUGAAGACACGGUCGAUUGUCGAGCUGGGGAGUACGGAUGUUGUGUUUACUCUUGAUAGUGGAGGGGAAAUUAUCCUCCAGUUGCAGUUCUUGCUUAGUGAUGAAGAUCGCAAGCGUAUCCAAGAAAUGAGGAACUCUGCGAUGAAAAGGAAGCAGCAAGAGCUGUUUGGGAAUGGCGAUGAACUUUAUUUCCAAGAGAGCAUACCACCUAAAGAGCAGGCAGAAGAGAUCUCCGACAUCCCAAACAAAGAAGACCGACUCACGCUCCGCAAGAGCAUGUCGACGGAUGAUCUGAAACGGAUGGCUGUUUUUUCCGAAAUAAGCAUUGGUACGAAUACGGCGGCUUCGAAGAAACCCCCGUUGCAAGCUUCGACGUCCGAAGGCCCCAUUGACAUGAAGGGUCUACCGCCGAGAAGUGACAUUGGCUCUAAAAGAGGGCAGGGUGAACUGGAGAGCAGGUCGAGCAGCGCGGUGAAGAAGAUGAUCAGCGCCUUCGAGAGCAGCUCUCCGCAGGGUCCGCCUUUGGUGCCAAGGAUUAAGUCGGUAGGGUCGUUGGAAGGGAUGAUGUUGGCUUCGACCAAUCCUUCAGAUUCCAAGAGGUGGUCAGGAAGGCGCGCUACGACGAUCAUCAGCAACAAGAAACCAAGCGCGUCUAGACAGGCCGAUUUGUUGAAUGCUCAGGAGAGCAGAAGACGGAGUUCCAGCAGGCGCGACAAAGCAGCCAAGACGAGCAUGGGAGAGGGUGCAGAAAAGCAAAAUCAUCAUCGUCGCUCCAUCGCUCCAAUGCAUUCGGGCGCAACAUCUAGGAUCGCCUGGGCCAGCCACCCCCACAUCUGCAUCACCACCGCAAGCAGGCAGCUGAAAGACCUCGUCGGGCUUGAGCACCUGAAUUCGAUGAAGAAUGCAGAGCAGAGUGCAAGGGAAGACGACACUGAACAAGGCACGAGCAACGACGACGCGGUGGGCUCUAAGCGGCGGCGAUCCGAUGGGUUCCCAACGCUAAAUGGGUGGCUGAUCAACCAGGGGGUACGCGGCGUGAUCGUCAUCAUAGCCUGCGGCGCGGUGUUCCUCAACAACAGGUGA
rnacentral:rRNA from 1 species